rnacentral:rRNA from 4 species
UACAACUUUCAACAACGGAUCUCUUGGCUCUCGCAUCGAUGAAGAACGCAGCGAAAUGCGAUAAGUAAUGUGAAUUGCAGAAUUCAGUGAAUCAUCGAAUCUUUGAACGCACCUUGCGCCCCUUGGUAUUCCGAGGGGCAUGCCUGUUUGAGUGUCAUGU